CCUACGGGAGGCAGCAGUGGGGAAUAUUGCACAAUGGGCGCAAGCCUGAUGCAGCGACGCCGCGUGAGGGAUGACGGCCUUCGGGUUGUAAACCUCUUUCGCCAGGGACGAAGCGCAAGUGACGGUACCUGGAUAAGAAGCACCGGCUAACUACGUGCCAGCAGCCGCGGUAAU
rnacentral:rRNA from 2 species